rnacentral:rRNA from 1 species
UACGAAGGGGGCUAGCGUUGCUCGGAAUCACUGGGCGUAAAGCGCACGUAGGCGGCUUUUUAAGUCAGGGGUGAAAUCCUGGAGCUCAACUCCAGAACUGCCUUUGAUACUGGGAGGCUUGAGUCCGGGAGAGGUGAGUGGAACUCCGAGUGUAGAGGUGAAAUUCGUAGAUAUUCGGAAGAACACCAGUGGCGAAGGCGGCUCACUGGCCCGGUACUGACGCUGAGGUGCGAAAGCGUGGGGAGCAAACAGG